GGUCCAAAAGGGAAAACCUCCAGCUCACUCUCUCCCUCUCACUCUCCCGCAGCUCCCACGCAAACCCUAGCUCAUCUACACACACUCUCUCUCUCGGAUUCUCACACCUCAUUCGGCCGAAACCCUGGCCGCUCUCCCCUUUCCUUCUUCUCCUCAGCCGAAAAAUCCUAGGGCACCUCUCAAACUUGGGAAAAACGAAAACCCUAAUGGAGGCCAGAAAAAAACCCUAGCGAACUCUCACUCGGCCGCCUCUCUUCCCGCAACCCUCAGCUCACGUUCCUCUCUCGGACCCCUCAGCUGGAGCGACUCUUUCCCUCAGCUGGUUUCUCCUUUUCCCUCGGUUGCUCUCUCCCACAGCGGACGCGGACCCUCAGCUCGACUUUUUCUUUUUCCCAGUUGGAGCUCUCAGCUCGUCUCUGAACCUGCCCUAAGCUCCCAUUCCUCCCUUAGCUAGUCCGAGUUCCCUUGUGCUCGUGGGCUCACAGACGAACCCCCUCAGCUCGACUCUUUCCUUUCACCCAUUCCCUCUCACGACCCUCAACUCCUUCAGCUCACACUCUGAAUCAUCUCCUCUCCAUUGCGUCCCCUGUCACUCUCCUCUCAAAACCGACACCCUCAGUUCGUCCUUGCCGCCUCUAAGCCCACCCUGACCAUCCCUGACCAACGCCGAACUCGCUGGAACUCUGUCUAGGUGCUCUCGGGUCCCCUCAGCUCAGGAUUUCAUUUUCCUUCGGCUCAGGCGUAACCGUCACUACUCUCACCCUCACCGUGCCCUCAGUUCUGUAGCUCGACGUCUCACGACCCUAAGGUCGCCUCGAGCCACACCCAGGGACCUCUCAGAGAUCAGGUGAUUACAGGUUCCGGCGCCCAUGAGUCGCUGGCCGCCGUAUUCAAAGGUCCCCGGAGUGCCCGGAGCUCCCUCGCCAGCUCGGAGGAGCAGCCAGGACCGUUCGCGCCAGCCCAUUACCUUUUCCAGCCGUUCUUCCUCCAGUCGGGUCUGCUAUACCCGACCGGAUACCCGACUCUGACCCGACUUCCAGAAUCUCUUAUUUCUACCCGAACUAGGUAUAGAUCUCGACUUAGUAGCAUGAUUAGGGCUCAUUUCCAUAUUAAUGUUUGUUUAAAUGAUGUUAAUGUGGAGUAAACGUUCGUGAGUUAUACCAAAACCUGGUUUUAUAAACUUUUCUAGCCGUCUCAUUUCAUUCCCUACCACUAUUUUUUUUCAUUUUUUAAUCAUUCCAAACUUUCAAAUUCGUUUCAGAUAAGUCCUAGACCAUUUUCGACGUUUUUCAGUUCGGCCACAGAAUUUUUGGAAGAUUCAAACCAUUCCCGAAAACUUUUAAACUUGUUUCAGUUCAGUCAUUGUGACAUUUUCCACUUUUUUCAGAUCAGUCCCGAACUUUAAAAUCUGUUUCAAUCAGGUCCCAGGCCAUUUUUAAUUCCCGUUCAGUCACAGAACUUUUCAGACGUUUCAAAUUAGUCCAGAGAAUUUUUCAAGCUGUCUCAAAUCAGUCCCCAGGAAUUUUAACCGAAUUACCAAAUCAGUCCUUGUUCUUUCAAAAUUAUUUUAAUUCGAUCCUUGAGCAAUUUAUAAGAUGUGUGUUAUGAUCGUGAUUGAUAUAUGAUUGUGUGCAACUGUGUUUUAUAUUUGAUUUUUGAUCGAACGAUAAAUCAUAAGUUGAAUGCGUUAGAUUUGAAUAAGUUGCUUCGUAAGCCCAUAGUUUCGAAGGCAAAUAAUGCAUCAAAAUGGUUUAAUUAAUCACUUGAAUUUAAAAUCGACGAAUUAAUUUUAUUGUGAUCAUUUUGCCCAUAUUCGUGUGCUUGGAAUGAUGAAUGUGUCUUUGAUUAAAACCUCACAUGAAUUGGUUUAAUCACAUAAAGUUGAUUAAAAAUUGGAUUUAGCCCCAAAACGGUCGGGAAUUAGAGUUUUCUAGGGGCGGUCCACCAAUGACCAUUUCGGCGGCUCGAAACCCAUAAACUAAGCAUUUGGCAAAUUUUAAUUAAUGUAAUCAAUAAUUCCACUUAUGGGGUAAUUGGGACAUUCACGCGAUUAAUUGAUUCACUUGGCCCUAAUAACUUUGCAUGAAUCAAUAAUUAAUCGGUAACACGCGUCGAUAAGUUGCAAAUAUGCAUUGGCGCCUUUAUCAAAAUUCGCAAUUUUACAAAAAAAAAAAAA